GUAGUUGCUUGAUGCUGGGGCCUCGUUGAUCACCGAGGACGAGCCCCCAGGGCUAAGCGCAGGCAUUGCACUGCGCUCGCGUUGACCCCAACCCCUAUCCCAAACAGGGGCAGAUGGGGCAUGCGAAUUGCUUAAGUCCGGCUCAGCGCAAGAGAGGGCGCCACCGCC
rnacentral:snRNA from 1 species